GCGACCGGUGCGGGAGGCAGCUAAUCAGGGCGGGGCUUGCAGACCGGGUUGAAGUCCAGGGCCCAGGAACCCUAGGGUAACCGAAAGCAGCCUCUGGGUUGGGCCUGCGGUGGGGCGGGGCUAGAGGUGUGGCCGCGCCCUAAACCUGGCGCAAGGCCGGUACCUAAAGGCUCCUGGGAGCCAAAAGAGCAAGUCAGGGAACUAGCUUUGGUUGGGUUCGGUGGUACACAAAGCACAAGGCCUGGGUUGGGGUUAGGAGGAAAUGAGACUUGCGGCGGGUCGGGGCUGAAGAUGUGGCAGCGCCCUGAACCUGGAGAAAGGCUGGUACGUAAACGCCUGCGUCGCAAUCUGGAGUCAGCUGGAGUGUCCCGGCAGAAUCCCUUUGGUCAAGGAGAGGGAGAGAGAGGUAAGGGUCUGGUCUUACUUUUUAAGCAGGAAGAAGACUACAAACCACCAUCUACCAUCUGCCAGGUAAUUUUAAACCAGUCCACUUAAUCCCCAUCAGAUUUUCCAGAUGCUUUGAAUGCAGAGCUAAGGUUGAGAACCACUGAUUUAGACAAAUAUACUAUGGGAGAAGGGGAAGGAGGUUCCACCAGCAGAGAGCAACCAGCUAGAGCCAUUUGGGGCUUAUCACAAAAGACUUCUUGUCAGGGAAAUUCACCUAUUGAGAGACAUUUUGGUUGUUUCCAAUUCUGGGCCAUUGAAAAGAAUGCUAAUAAGCAAAGCCCCUCUUCUGCUAUGAAAGUAACAGUGGGCAGAUAUUCCCUCUCUGGCCCUUGGGUAACUGAAAGGAGGCUUAUAACCAAAGCACAGCCAGUGAGAUGCUCCUGCUCAGGAUGUUGAUUUUGGAGAAGUGACACAAGGUAUAUGAUCAGAGUUAAGGGUUCAGUAGGCCAGUAAUGAGUGCCAGUGGUGUUGGUUCCAGUAGCACAAUGGUAAGUAUCCAGUUUAGAAGGCUCGGGUGGCAGCAUCCUAAGCCCACUAUCCCUAGCGAGAUGCUGGCUGUGCCUCACCAACCCUCAUCCCUGCCUCAUCCUUGUUCUCCAGCUUCCCAUUAAAACUGUGAGCUUCCUAAUACCUUUCCAAUAAAUUAAAUUUUGUCAUAAAUAUACCAUAAUCCAUUUCUAUUGUUUCUUUCUUUUUUUUUCUUUUUUUUUUUGAGGCAGAGUCUUGCUCUGUCACCCAGGCUGGAGUGCAAUGGCACAAUCUUGGCUCAUGGCAGCCUCUACUUCCCAGGUUCAAGCAAUUCUCCUGCCUCAGCCUCCUGACUAGCUGGAAUUACAGGUGCAUGCCACCAUGCCCGGCUAAUUUUUGUGUUUUUAGUAGAGAUGGGGUUUUGCCAUGUUGGCCAGGAUGGUCUCGAACUCCGGACCUCAAGUGAUCCGGCUGCCUUGGCCUCUCAAAGUGCUAAGAUGACAGGCGUGAGACACCGCACCCAAUGAUUUCUAUUGUUUCUAUCCAAGAACAUUGAUGAGUAUAUGAGGACAAAAAUACUAAUCAAAAAGUCACAUACAAAUGAAUGAUUUGAAUUGGCAAUGAGUGACUUGAAGAAAAGGUACAUGGGUGAAAUUAAUCUGGUCUGGAAGGUCAAAGUAUAAAGAAUGCUUCCCUUAGGAAAUGACACUAAAACUGAGACAGACUCAAAGUUAAUGAGGUAAAACGUGGAGGGGUGGAGCGGUGGGAGGGUGAUGGGUAGUAACAAGGGGAAAGAAGAGUGGGAAAUGCAGCGCCAGUAGCCUGAGAUCAAAAUGGCUUUCUUAGCUCUGGUUGGUUUGGAGGGUAAGAAACUAAAGAGGAGGUGAUUGAAAUGCAGGUGACACAUCUCAAUGGAAUAUUAUGAUCCUUGUGGAGACUGCAUAGUACCAUGGAGCAAGUAUUAUGGUUGAAGAUAGUAGACCUGUAGUUCAUACACCAAAGAAUUAAGGAAUCACGCAUGCCUAUUGGAACAAAAGGGUAGGUAGGUAGAAUACCUGGCCUUGUUUUUCCCCCUGCGGCGGACAUCAGGUGUUUGUGCUAUAUACUGCCUCCUCCCUUAGAGAACUGCUGCUUCCCCAAAUCUUGAUCUGGUGGGAUUGCCAACCACAGCUCUCCACUCCCCUAGCCACAAUGAGGGCAGAGGAUCCAGGCCUGACCAGUCAGACCACAUAUUCCAAUCAGCACAGGGCAAUCCAUGUGAGCACAUGGCUCAGACUCAGGCAGGCAGGCUCUGCUCUGAUUUUGUUCAUUUCAGGCUGGAGAAGAGAUCUUUCCUCAACUCCACAAAUUACCCCAGUAUUCUUCCUGGGAUGGAUCCUUGCCCACCCAUGAAUCCUUUUUUGUUUUGCUUUUUGAUUUAUUAGGGCUACUUUCUGUAUACAUAUAAGGAAAAAAUUUUUUACUUUUUAACUGUUGUUUUAUGACCAUAGAAUACAUACAUAUUGUAUAAGAUUCAAACAAUAAGAAAACACAUAAAGAAGACCAUUUCAGAGUUUCUAUCCCUGUCACAUAUUUCUAGUUUUACUAAAUGAGGUAGUCUAGAACAAUGUGAUCUAUGAUUUCUGAGAGGGACUAGAAGAUUCGAGAAGAUUUGCUGAGGUUUGAUAAGGUCCAAUAUAUGGCUAAUUUGGUAAAUGCUUCCUGAGCCCGUAAAGAUAUAUUCUCUGAAGUUCCAGAGUGCAAUAUUUAUCUGUUAGGCAAAGUAUAUCAAUUACAUUUUUGGCCUUUGUGCUGGGUCUAUUUGGAGUAUAGAGAUAAUAGUAUCCCUAUAUCAUAAGGUUGUCCUAAGGACUAAAUAUGUUAAUACAUGAAAAUAACUUAUAAUAGUGCCUGCCACACAGUAAAUAUCCCCCAAAUGUUAAUUGUUUUCAUCAUCAUCGUCAUUUUUAUUCUCUUUAGAUCCAGAUAUGCAUACUUAGAAGCUGACAUUUUGGCCAGGUACGGUGGCUUACGCCGGUAAUCCCAGCACUUUGGGAGGC
rnacentral:lncRNA from 1 species